AUGUAAUAGAUGUAGUGGUAAAGAAGUUUGAUCCCUAUGACUUCUUAUUUUCUCUAUGAAGCAACUUUGUGCCAGCUAGUCCUGCAAGAAGAAGGUGGCUCCCCAGUCAAUUUUAUGCGGAUUGAUGUCCUUCAUCCUGGGCCACAUCUCAUUCUUCAUCUAUCAUGCCCGAACUAUGCCGACCAUCUUUAGAUCGGCCAUAUAUUGAUCAAAUCUGAACCAGACCGACCAUCUUU
rnacentral:lncRNA from 1 species